rnacentral:rRNA from 1 species
GACGAACGCUGGCGGCAUGCCUAAUACAUGCAAGUCGAGCGAACAGAUGAAGUGCUUGCACUUCUGACGUUAGCGGCGAACGGGUGAGUAACACGUAAGGAAUCUACCUAUAAGCGGGGGAUAACAUUCGGAAACGGGUGCUAAUACCGCAUAAUCUCUUCUUCCGCAUGGAAGAAGAUUGAAAGACGGCUCUGCUGUCACUUAUAGAUGACCUUGCGGUGCAUUAGUUAGUUGGUGGGGUAAUGGCCUAGCAAGGCGACGAUCAGUAGCCGGUCUGAGAGGAUGAACGGCCACACUGGGACUGAGACACGGCCCAGACUCCUACGGGAGGCAGCAGUGGGGAAUCUUCCGCAAUGGACGAAAGUCUGACGGAGCGACGCCGCGUGAGUGAUGAAGGCCCUUGGGUCGUAAAGCUCUGUCAUUGGGGACGAACGACCGCCUCAGGAAAUGGGGGCGGAGUGACGGUACCCAAGAAGGAAGCCACGGCUAACUACGUGCCAGCCGCCGCAGUAA